UUCCAUACCAAAGCCAGAUGCCUGAAAAUAUACAAAAGCAACAAGGAUAUACAAACAAUUUAAUUUAAAAUUACCACAAGAAAAAUGUGUGUGCAUGGCAGGGAGAUCAAUAGGCUACGGUGAGUCCGCUCUGAUUUUGGAGUGGACGUGGCAAAAUGAGGAGUGGUAAAUUGUUUUUCUUCAAGAAAACGAAAGCCCUAGCCGCGAAGCUUCGGUUGUUGCUGAUUUUGGCGGGUGAGAUUUGAGAGAGAGCGCGAGAAAUCGAUGGGUAAAGGGGAAGCAGAGGAGGAAGGGCCUACUUUCAGGGAUACAAGGUGAUAUCAUUGUGUGUACUGUGGCGUCUGCAGGUCCAAAAAGAACCUGAUUGCUUCUCACAUCCUCACUCACCACAAGGUUUCAGUCCUUUUUAAUUUUGGUUUUCUACGGUCCAGUUAUGAAUUUUUAUGAAUUGGGUUUUCGAAUUUGAGGGAUUUACUGUUGUGGGUUCAUUUGGUUUUUGUAUUUUAAACAAAAUCUGAAGCUGGGUUGUCUUCAGAUUGAUUAUGUUAAUUUUUACUUAUAAUUUGCUUACUUUUGUUACCGGAAGAGAUGGAAAUGGCCAAAGAGGCUGAUGGGGAUGGGGAAGGAGAGAGGGAAAAAUCCAAUACUUGCCAAGAAUGUGGUGCUACUUUUAAGAAAGUGUCUGAAGUUGUCUUAAGGAAACCAGCGGCAGCUUGUAUAGCUUGAUGUUGCUACCGAUUAGUUUGAUAGCUUCAUUACAGCUGAUUGUGUCUAUAACUUUCCUUACUUUUCCGGUGAACGUCCUGUAAUUUUCGCAUCAAUUGAAGAUAAGUAAACGACGACGAUUGGGUGUUGUAACCUGGAAAGGGCUGCGAUUGUGGCAGAACCGGUUCAGAGUUGAGACGAAUCAGAACGACGGCUCUGUUGUACCUUAGGCUGAAAAGUAAGAGCUCCGUCGGUUCUGGGUUUGAAAAAUCCUGGUUAAUUUUGAGGUUCUUGACAGGAUUUAAUCGAUUCAGAUGAUUAACGAUGCGCUCUUAUGCCUGGACCAUAGUGAUUUAUAUAGCCUUGACGUCGACCUGCGUCGGUGAUAUAUUUGGUGACUUGAGGUUUGAUGACACCAAUUUCUUUGGUUAUAGUUGGAGUGUAUUAGAGUGCAUCCUUGGAUUAUUGACGCUUUCGGGUCAUCAAUCAGCUGGAAGAAAGUAUUUUAUCUUCUAGUUGUGUAGGAUCAUUGAUUAUCUGUGAUGAUUAUAUUGCCGCAGUUGAGAAGUAA